CAUGCAAGUCGAGCGAGAAGCUAACUUCGGUUAGUGGAAAGCGGCGCACGGGUGAGUAACGCGUGGGAAUUUACCUUUUGGUGGGGGACAACAGUUGGAAACGACUGCUAAUACCGCAUAUACCCUACGGGGGAAAGAUUUAUCGCCAAGAGAUGGGCCCGCGUUAGAUUAGGUAGUUGGUAGGGUCAAAGCCUACCAAGCCUACGAUCUAUAGCUGGUUUGAGAGAACGAUCAGCCACACUGGAACUGAGACACGGUCCAGACUCCUACGGGAGGCAGCAGUGGGGAAUCUUGCACAAUGGGCGAAAGCCUGAUGCAGCCAUGCCGCGUGAGUGAGAAGGCCUUCGGGUUGUAAAACUCUUUUAGAUGUGAAGAUGAUGACGGUGACAUCAGAAAAAGCCCCGGCUAACUUCGUGCCAGCAGCCGCGGUAAUACGAAGGGGGCUAGCGUUGUUCGGAAUUACUGGGCGUAAAGAGCGUGUAGGCGGCUAGAUAAGUUAGGGGUGAAAUCCCGGAGCUCAACUUCGGAAUUGCCUUUGAUACUGUCUAGCUUGAGAUUGCGAGGGGAUAGCGGAAUACCCAGUGUAGAGGUGAAAUUCGU
rnacentral:rRNA from 1 species